CACCACUACAUACAGCUAGCGCAAUUGCUCAUUUUAGCAUUGCUCCAGAACAUGAACUACUGAAAUAUAUUCUAGAGUAAAAGAAAGAGAAAACAUCGCUAUUGUGCCUUAUUCCAGAGCAAAUAGGAUUAUCUGCAAAAAAGAAUCUGUAAACAAUCUAAAAGCAUGAGUUGCUGCAAUUGUACGGUGCGUAUAGCACAACAGAAUUAUGUAAUGACUUCCCAGUGACAUGGCCAGG